rnacentral:rRNA from 1 species
UCGGACUGGAGUCUGCAACCCGACUCCACGAAGUUGGAUUCGCUAGUAAUCGCGCAUCAGCCAUGGCGCGGUGAAUACGUUCCCGGGCCUUGUACACACCGCCCGUCAAGCCAUGGGAGCCGGGGGCGCCUGAAGUCCGGGACCGCGAGGACCGGCCUAGGGCGAAACCGGUAACUGGGGCUAAGUCGUAACAAGGUAAC